UAGAUCCCUAAAUUAUCUGUUACCUUAUCACAAUGGCUGAAACACUGAAUGAAUUUUUGUGCUAAGGAAAUUAAUUAGAAUGUAAUUAAACAAGAACCUGUAUUUCUCUACAUUUGUUUCUUUUAGACUGUAAGAUGGAUGAAAUUCAACUGCAUGUAGGUCAGGGGAGGCACACAUUUGCCAUUCUGGGGUCUCUGCUGCUGUGCAUGUUAGGUGCUUCAUAAAUACUUGCUAACUAACUAAACAGUCUUCCUAUCUUGGGGUUCUAUAGAGCAUAUGAGAACUGUACUGAUGAAUAAAAAGUGUAUUUACAAAGGAAGGAAAUGAAAUGCAUUCUAUGCCCAUACCACGCUCAAUGCGCCCGAUCUCGUCUGAUCUUGGAAGCUAAGCAGGGUCAGGCCUGGUUAGUACUUGGAUGGAAGAAAUGAAAUGCAAUUUUAGAAGCUAAAAACCAACAUCCCACCUGACUCACCAACUUAAAUUUCUUAUUCUUAUUUAUUACUGUUACAGUUUUGAAUGGGAACAAAUCCUUUAUUUCUUCCUUUUUCAGUUGUAUUCGUAGUUCCCUCUAGGGCACUUUUGGCAUUUUUGUUUUCUCUGUUCAGCUUUAUUGAAAUAUAAUUAAUAAAAAUUGUAUAUAUUUAUG
rnacentral:lncRNA from 10 species